rnacentral:lncRNA from 1 species
GGCCGAGAUGCUGAACAGGCCUCAGGCCAACCUCCGGCUUUCUGGUGACAUUCUGUAAAACUCUAGAAUCCAGUUAUCACUUGCUGGCUCCAGUCCUGACCUUCCUGGGUGUACGCUGCGGGGAGGACCAGGUUGAGGGUUCUGAGCCAUGCAGGAGUAAGUGGGCAGAUUGGAGAAGGACUUGAAACUUGGUAAAAGAGAAAAAUGCCAUUAGUCAAUCAUUUAUUGAGGACCUACUGUGUGUCGAACAUUCUGAUAAAUGCUGGGGAUCCUGUAGCCAACAAAAGACACUGUCUAUCAUGGUCCAGACAGUUUGAUACCGCGCAACCUAGAAAAGCUCCUCGAUGGAAAAUAAUGCCUGAGACUCACCUCCACGCCAUUAAGUUGAAAAUAAGAUCCAGAACUCGAGUGAACAUACGCCAGCUCCUGAGAGGAGAAGAAAGUUGACUUUGGGUUAGGAGCUGCCCGCAGGCCUUGGUCACCCUCAUCUCCAACCUGGAUUGAAAUAUGUAUCAGCUGUUUAAUACCCACAACUUGAGUCUGUCUGAGAAGUCUGUCUGAAAAGGGCAUCAGCGGGGCUUGGUAUCCCCAGGAGGCUUGGUACUGGCACACACAGGGACCGGAGGGCAUAACAUCUGUGCACUGGGCCAGUCACUUCUUUGUGUCUCUAUUUUCCAGGUGAGCAAACAGAGAGCAGGAUAGGGCAGGCGCGCCUGAGAGCUGUAAGGAGCCCCACUGGUAUCGCCAUAGCCAGCCCUGUGGCCGGC